rnacentral:rRNA from 1 species
GGAGUUUGGACCGUGUCUCAGUUCCAAUGUGGGGGACCUUCCUCUCAGAACCCCUACUGAUCGUAGCCUUGGUAGGCCGUUACCCCACCAACUAUCUAAUCAGACGCAAGCCCAUCUAUCAGCGGAUUGCUCCUUUCCCUCUUGUACCAUGCGAUACUCAAGGCAUAUGCGGUAUUAGCAGUCAUUUCUAACUGUUAUUCCCCUCUGAUAGGCAGGUUGCUUACGUGUUACUCACCAGUCCGCCACUAACCGCUCCAUUAGUAAACUAAAGGUUAAGUUCGUUCGACUUGCAUGUCUUAUGUGCGCCGCCAGCGUUUAUC